AAACGCAGAUGUAUAACUUAAAGUCAACUUUUUCUCGUGGACGAAAUAAAGAGUGAAGGAGGGAUAGACCGAAUGAAGAGAGGAAUCAUUAUAAUCGAGCUGUAAUUGGGCAAGAUGACGGGGUAAAAAGAAACUUGCUGGACCGACGAGCGUAACGCGGGAAAGUAAAAGCAGUAGACCGCAAUGUUCAAGUAAUAUUUAUGCCCCUAUUAUCGUUCCAGCUACUAGUCCAGAUAUGGUAAUCGAUACUCUGUGCGACACUGUACACCACAGUUUCACCGUGCCUCUGACGAAUAGUACAGUCGAACCUCUGUAAUUCGAUCCUCUAUGAUUAAAAAAAAUCUCUAUUAAGAUUA